rnacentral:tRNA from 1 species
GGGAAGGUGGCUCAAUGUAGAGCACUUGCCUUGCAUGCACGAAGCCCUGGGUUCGAUUCCUCAGCACCCCA